AGUGAACGCUGGCGGUAGGCCUAACACAUGCAAGUCGAACGGCAGCACAGUAAGAGCUUGCUCUUACGGGUGGCGAGUGGCGGACGGGUGAGGAAUACAUCGGAAUCUACUUUUUCGUGGGGGAUAACGUAGGGAAACUUACGCUAAUACCGCAUACGACCUACGGGUGAAAGCAGGGGAUCUUCGGACCUUGCGCGAUUGAAUGAGCCGAUGUCGGAUUAGCUAGUUGGCGGGGUAAAGGCCCACCAAGGCGACGAUCCGUAGCUGGUCUGAGAGGAUGAUCAGCCACACUGGAACUGAGACACGGCCCAGACUCCUACGGGAGGCAGCAGUGGGGAAUAUUGGACAAUGGGCGAAAGCCUGAUACAGCAAUACCGCGUGGGUGAAGAAGGCCUUCGGGUUGUAAAGCCCUUUUGUUGGGAAAGAAAAGCAGCAGGUUAAUACCCCGCGGUUCUGACGGUACCCAAAGAAUAAGCACCGGCUAACUUCGUG
rnacentral:rRNA from 1 species